rnacentral:rRNA from 1 species
GGCUCAGGAUGAACGCUGGCGGCGUGCUUAACACAUGCAAGUCGAACGAUGAUCUUCACUUGUGGGGGGAUUAGUGGCGAACGGGUGAGUAACACGUGAGUAACCUGCCCUUGACUCUGGGAUAAGCCUGGGAAACCGGGUCUAAUACUGGAUACGACCUUCUGGCGCAUGCCAUGUUGGUGGAAAGCUUUGGUGGUUUUGGAUGGACUCGCGGCCUAUCAGCUUGUUGGUGGGGUAAUGGCCUACCAAGGCGACGACGGGUAGCCGGCCUGAGAGGGUGACCGGCCACACUGGGACUGAGACACGGCCCAGACUCCUACGGGAGGCAGCAGUGGGGAAUAUUGCACAAUGGGCGCAAGCCUGAUGCAGCGACGCCGCGUGGGGGAUGAAGGCCUUCGGGUUGUAAACCUCUUUCAGUAGGGAAGAAGCUGGCCUUUUGGGGUUGGUGACGGUAC